UACGAAGGGGGCUAGCGUUGCUCGGAAUCACUGGGCGUAAAGGGUGCGUAGGCGGGUCUUUAAGUCAGGGGUGAAAUCCUGGAGCUCAACUCCAGAACUGCCUUUGAUACUGAAGAUCUUGAGUUCGGGAGAGGUGAGUGGAACUGCGAGUGUAGAGGUGAAAUUCGUAGAUAUUCGCAAGAACACCAGUGGCGAAGGCGCUCACUGGCCCGAUAUUGACGCUGAUGCGCGAAAGCCAGGGGAGCAAAGCGGGG
rnacentral:rRNA from 1 species